rnacentral:misc_RNA from 1 species
GAUGAAGAACGCAGCGAAAUGCGAUAAGUAGUGUGAAUUGCAGAAUUCAGUGAAUCAUCGAAUCUUUGAACGCACAUUGCGCCCCUUGGUAUCCCGAGGGGCAUGCCUGUUCGAGCGCCAUUUCACCACUCAAGCCUGGCUUGGUGUUGGGCGACGUCCCCUUUGGGGACGCGCCUCGAAACGCUCGGCGGCGUGGCACCGGCUUUAAGCGUAGCAGAAUCUUUCGCUUUGGAAGUCGGGGCCCCGUCUGCCGGAAGACCUACUCGCAAGGUUGACCUCGGAUCAGGCAGGGAUACCCGCUGAACUUAAGCAUAUCAAUAAGCGGAGGA